GACGAACGCUGGCGGCGUGCUUAACACAUGCAAGUCGAACGGAAAGGCUCCAGCUUGCUGGAUUUCUUGAGUGGCGAACGGGUGAGUAACACGUGGGUAAUCUGCCCUGCUCUCUGGGAUAAGCCUGGGAAACUGGGUCUAAUACUGGAUAUGAUCUUUCUCCUUAUGGGGUUUGGUGGAAAGUUUUUCGGUGUAGGAUGAGCCCGCGGCCUAUCAGCUUGUUGGUGGGGUGAUGGCCUACCAAGGCGACGCCGGGUAGCCGGCCUGAGAGGGUGAUCGGGCACAUUGGGACUGAGAUACGGCCCAGACUCCUACGGGAGGCAGCAGUGGGGAAUAUGGCACAAUGGGCGGAAGCCUGAUGCAGCGACGCCGCGUGAGGGAUGACGUCCUUCGGGUUGUAAACCUCUUUCAGCAGGGACGAAGAGUAAGUGACGGUACCUGCAGAAGAAGCACCGGCUAACUAUGUG
rnacentral:rRNA from 1 species